ACUCCUACGGGAGGCAGCAGUAGGGAAUCUUCCACAAUGGGCGCAAGCCUGAUGGAGCAACACCGCGUGAGUGAAGAAGGGUUUCGGCUCGUAAAGCUCUGUUGUUAAAGAAGAACACGUAUGAGAGUAACUGUUCAUACGUUGACGGUAUUUAACCAGAAAGUCACGGCUAACUACGUGCCAGCAGCCGCGGUAAUACGUAGGUGGCAAGCGUUAUCCGGAUUUAUUGGGCGUAAAGAGAGUGCAGGCGGUUUUCUAAGUCUGAUGUGAAAGCCUUCGGCUUAACCGGAGAAGUGCAUCGGAAACUGGAUAAUUUGAGUGCAGAAGAGGGUAGUGGAACUCCAUGUGUAGCGGUGGAAUGCGUAGAUAUAUGGAAGAACACCAGUGGCGAAGGCGGCUACCUGGUCUGCAACUGACGCUGAGACUCGAAAGCAUGGGUAGCGAACAGGAUUAGAUACCCUGGUAGGAUAGCG
rnacentral:rRNA from 1 species